CUCUCAACCACUGCGCCAUCAGGGAAGCCCCCUGUUAUCUUUUUUAAAAAUACCACUUGGGGGAAAAUCUUUUAGCCAAAAUAGUCUCACUUAAGUCAGUAUAUACUGAGCGUUCAGUUUUGACUGUUAUCCCUGUGGCUCUGUUCCUGACCAAAUUUAGGUGACUCUUGGAAGAGUCCACCAAGGACAAGUUUAAUAAUCAGAGGGACAGAAGUAAGAGGGUAGACAGGGCGACAAGUCCGAAGCCCACACCGAGUUUUUUCAUUCCAGAUCCUCUGAUCCUAGAUUGAAUCUUUGGGUUUGGGUACCAGGUAUGCAUGCGUCAGUUCCUGGGACCCUUUUAAAUUAGUUUAUAAUAGCAUAGUACCAUUUCAGUAGCUUCCCUAGGUUGGAUUCAGUUGGUCAGUUGGCCCCUUCGUGCCUCAAAAACAGAUUGGGGUCGCGGGUGUUUCUGUGACAAAUUUGUUCCUUUAUCAAUGCCUUUGAAGAGCAGUGGGAAUCAGCCAUUUGGGACAUCUGACUACCUGUUUUAUUCCUUCCUGCACUGUGAAUUUCUGCUAGGGCUUGUCAGAUUUCUACUACUACUCCCAACCAAGAUGUGGGAGAGUGAUGCGUCUGCACGAAGAAAAGGACACCGUGGAGACCUGGGCGAGUGGGACCAUAGCCUGCAAUGUGGAUCGCCAAUGAGCCAAUCACAUAAAAAGUGCAGUGAGAUCAUUAACAUCAAGUACAAAUUCACAUGUACCACGGAUGGGUAGAGUACCAAAAGGAACCGAGAGAACUGUCAGAAAGAAUCAGCCCAGCAGAGGACUGUCCAUUUACAAAGCAUCGUACGCAGCAGUAUUUGGAUUAUGAUGAAAAGUUCCACCUCCCCAGGUGCCCACUCUGAUGACUCGUUGCGCUACUGCCUUUGAUCUCCACUAUAGAAAAUGCUCUGCUCCAUCUCAAAAGGGAUUGCCGUGUGCCCCAUUAGCUGGCCUUUGGAUCAAACGAGCAGCAGACCUCACAGCUAGAAUUCCACCGUUGGCCAUUCACAAAGAGAUAAAUUGUAAGUCCUUUCCAUCACUUCCAAAUAUUUCUUUCAACAGAGAACAAUUUUAAAAAAAAAAUCUAUUAGCUAAUUUUGCCAUCUGCUCUGGUUACUAAUAAGGUUUAGAAUUCGGGCCUUAAUCAUAAAGUGUCCUGCCAAAGCCCUUCCCCACCCCCCCCCC